UACGUAGGGGGCUAGCGUUGUCCGGAUUUAUUGGGCGUAAAGAGCUCGUAGGUGGUUCGAUAAGUCGGGUGUGAAACCUCCAGGCUCAACCUGGAGACGCCACCCGAUACUGUCGUGACUAGAGUCCAGUAGGGGAGCGUGGAAUUCCUGGUGUAGCGGUGAAAUGCGCAGAUAUCAGGAGGAACACCAGCGGCGAAGGCGGCGCUCUGGGCCUUACCUGACGCUGAGGCGCGAAAGCUAGGGGAGCGAACAGG
rnacentral:rRNA from 1 species